CUUGAUUUGGUGUGCCUUUUGUGUUGAUUUUGGUGUGAUUUACUUUUUUACUUGUAGGAGAGGCCAGGCUGUGGCAGCCGCGGUCGUGGCGUCGUGCAUGUGGCAUCGACGCAGGUGAGAAUACAUCUAUGGUAGUCUCGUGGGCCGAGCGUCAAGGUGAUGGUAGCCGACCCUCCACGCCCCCUCUAGGGAUGGGAAGUGGCGGGCAGAGUACCUCCCCCGCGCAUGUCAGAGUUGCAAACACUUUCAAUUUCAACUGUGUGGUGAUCAGGACAUUCUGUGUUGCUUGGACAACCGAGCUAAGACGGCGAUGCCACCACCUACUUGUAUCUGUACAGGAACUCCGGUGAUUAUUUCUGUGAGUGCCUAAAUAUAUAUCCUCUGCUCUCCAAAUGGUAGUGUUUGAGGUUUUCAUUUCUCCCCCUUCCAGUUCUGCUGAGCACCUUCAAUUCCCCUUUCCCCAGCUCGAAGGAAUUGGCGCCUCCGUUAGUGACCCCGAGUAGUGAUGCAAUGAUGUAUUGUUUGAUCUUCUCCAAAGAUUUUCAAAUAGUUAUACUUUGAUUCAGAGCUCGUUGUGUUUUACUGUAUAUGCAGUUUGUUCUUAUGAAUUUCUCCGAGUAGGUAGAUCCUUUAGGGUUACUAACUUACUGUGAACAAAUGUUUUGUCUUGUUCGUGUAGUUUCCAAAAAUGAAGAAGCUUGUCGUUCAACCGAUGACAAAACACCUAGAGUACGUGCAAAAAUUACUACUUCCUCAUUUACAGCAAACUCAUUGAUACGACAAAGGCAAAAUUUUGGGUGGCAAGUGAGUGGAGACAGCCAUGAGUGGCUCAACAUGUCGAGCAGCGGCCGCCUAUGAGGGGAGUGAGUGGAGACGCGCAAAUAUGUGUGGUGGAGGGGCAACGGAAGCUUGAACGGAAGAUUCGUCGCCAACAUCGAAGAAAUCUAUGGCCUGAUCGACCCUAAAGCUCCUGCAUGGACAUGAAGGUGACCGGGGGCAGAUUGCCGACAUUUGCCACACUAUGGGCAAUCUAUGUGAUGAUCUGCUCUCCGCAAUCGAAGCCAGGAAUGAGCGGCAAGAUCUCUUCGGGAAUGGCUGAUGAGGAAGAAUUGACUGCGGGGGAAUGGUGGAUCUAGGUGGAGUUCGCUUUAGCCAGUGAGGGACGAGCUUUAGUUGUGUAGGGGAAGGG